GCCAGCAUCGUGUAGUGGUUUGAAUGUUGGACUAUGACUCUGGAGACCUGGGUUCAGUUCCCAGCUCAGCCA